GAUGAACGCUGGCGGCGUGCUUAACACAUGCAAGUCGAACGGAAAGGCCGAAGCUUGCUUCGGUACUCGAGUGGCGAACGGGUGAGUAACACGUGGGUGAUCUGCCCUGUACUUCGGGAUGAGCUUGGGAAACUGGGUCUAAUACCGGAUAUGACGAUCUCUUGGAUGGGGUUGUGGAAAGCUUUUGCGGUAUGGGAUGAGCUCGCGGCCUAUCAGCUUGUUGGUGGGGUAAUGGCCUACCAAGGCGUCGACGGGUAGCCGGCCUGAGAGGGUGUACGGCCACAUUGGGACUGAGAUACGGCCCAGACUCCUACGGGAGGCAGCAGUGGGGAAUAUUGCACAAUGGGCGCAAGCCUGAUGCAGCGACGCCGCGUGGGGGAUGACGGCCUUCGGGUUGUAAACUCCUUUCGCAAUCGACGAAGCCUUUUGGUGACGGUAGGUUGAGAAGAAGCACCGGCUAACUACGUG
rnacentral:rRNA from 1 species